CCUUCUAGAGCCAAGCAGUGUCUCCAGACUUCCUCCCACUGAGCUCCUAACUAACAUUUCCUCCCCUCCGCCUAAAAGGAGAGACGGAAUAUGCAGACGCUGGAGCCCAGGUGAAUGGUGAACCAAACCACGGUGGACACUACCGCUUUCUUCUGAGAUGGAAUCUGCUGCAGCGGCCAAGCUGGUCUCGUGCUCCUGGGCUGGAGGAGGGACCCUCCUGCCUCGGUCUCCAGUAGCUGAACCUGCAGCAAAUCCCCACUAGGAAGGCGACCCUCUCAGACUGCGGGCAAGUGCCAAGAAAGCGGAGUUAACAUGGGCGUGUAGGUGCACACCUGUAAUCCAAUCCCAGCAUUUGGGAGGCUGAGGCAGGAGGAUCGGCCGGAG
ensembl:lncRNA